AUUGAACGCUGGCGGCAUGCCUUACACAUGCAAGUCGAACGGUAACGCGGGGCAACCUGGCGACGAGUGGCGAACGGGUGAGUAAAGUAUCGGAACGUGCCCAAUAGUGGGGGAUAGCCCGGCGAAAGCCGGAUUAAUACCGCAUGAGACCUGAGGGUGAAAGCGGGGGACUCGCAAGAGCCUCGCGCUGUUGGAGCGGCCGAUAUCAGAUUAGGUAGUUGGUGGGGUAAAGGCCUACCAAGCCGACGAUCUGUAGCUGGUCUGAGAGGACGACCAGCCACACUGGGACUGAGACACGGCCCAGACUCCUACGGGAGGCAGCAGUGGGGAAUUUUGGACAAUGGGCGCAAGCCUGAUCCAGCCAUGCCGCGUGCGGGAAGAAGGCCUGGUUGUAA
rnacentral:rRNA from 1 species